rnacentral:rRNA from 1 species
UACGUAGGGUGCAAGCGUUAAUCGGAAUUACUGGGCGUAAAGCGUGCGCAGGCGGUUUUGUAAGUCAGAUGUGAAAUCCCCGGGCUUAACCUGGGAACUGCGUUUGAAACUACAAGGCUAGAGUGUGACAGAGGGGGGUGGAAUUCCACGUGUAGCAGUGAAAUGCGUAGAGAUGUGGAGGAACACCGAUGGCGAAGGCAGCCCCCUGGGUCAAGAUUGACGCUCAUGCACGAAAGCGUGGGGAGCAAACAGGAUUAGAAACCC